GCCGUGCGGAGUCCGGGGCCAGAACUGCUCAUCGCUUUAUUUACUCCGGCUCGCUCGGAGCCAGCUAGGCGUGCGGGUGACCAAGAGGAAAACAAAUUCUCUCCGUAACCUUCACCAGGCGACGCGGCAGUUGAGCUGGGUGUGGUAUCUCUACGGUUUGCCUCUUCGGGACGGGGCCGUGCGUCACCUCCGGUGCCCCAGGCCCCGGUCCUCCGUGCCGCGCACCCGGAGAGUCGGACGCAGAGAACGCGAGGCAGCAACUUCCCGCUGCUCUCUGACUUGUUAGUGAACUUUCCCUCUCCUCCCCCGCUUCCUGAGACUCAGCCUUUCCCUCACCGUGUUUGCCCAAGCCGUUCUGCACAAUGAGACGGUAACAGUUGUCAGAUAAAGCACGUACUAUUUAGAACACA